GGCUCUAGCUGAGUGGUUAGAGCAGCUGCUUUGUAUGCAAAAGGUUCCAGGUUCCAUCCCCGGCAUCUCCA